rnacentral:rRNA from 1 species
AGAGUUUGAUCAUGGCUCAGGAUGAACGCUAGCGAUAGGCCUAACACAUGCAAGUCGAGGGGCAGCACAUGACGUAGCAAUACAGAUGGUGGCGACCGGCGCACGGGUGAGUAACACGUAUGCAACCUACCUUUCCACAGGAGGAUAACCCGUUGAAAGACGGGCUAAUACUCCAUAACACAGGGGUCCCGCAUGGGAAUAUUUGUUAAAGAUUUUUUCGGUAGAAGAUGGGCAUGCGUUCCAUUAGCUAGUUGGUUGAGGUAACGGCUCACCAAGGCAACGAUGGAUAGGGGAACUGAGAGGUUUAUCCCCCACACUGGUACUGAGACACGGACCAGACUCCUACGGGAGGCAGCAGUGAGGAAUAUUGGUCAAUGGAGGCAACUCUGAACCAGCCACGUCGCGUGAAGGAUGACGGCCCUACGGGUUGUAAACUUCUUUUAUACAGGAAUAAAGUGAGUCACGUGUGAUUUUUUGCAUGUACUGUAUGAAUAAGGAUCGGCUAACUCCGUGCCAGCAGCCGCGGUAAUACGGAGGACCCAAGCGUUAUCCGGAUUUAUUGGGUUUAAAGGGUGCGCAGGCGGAAGAUUAAGUCGGCGGUGAAAUUUUGCAGCUCAACUGUAAAAGUGCCAUCGAUACUGGUUUUCUUGAGUGUGGAUGAAGUAGGCGGAAUUUGUGGUGUAGCGGUGAAAUGCAUAGAUAUCACGAGGAACUCCGAUUGCGCAGGCAGCUUACUAGGCCAUAACUGACGCUCAGGCACGAAGGCGUGGGGAUCAAACAGGAUUAGAUACCCUGGUAGUCCACGCAGUAAACUAUGAUUACUCGCUGUUUGCGAUACACCGUAAGCGGCUUAGCGAAAGCGUUAAGUAAUCCACCUGGGGAGUACGUUCGCAAGAAUGAAACUCAAAUGAAUUGACGG